CAGGAUGGUCGAGCGGUCUAAGACGGCAGCUUCAGGUGCUGUUCUCCUCUGGGGGCGUGGGUUCGAAUCCCACUCCUG
rnacentral:tRNA from 1 species